rnacentral:rRNA from 1 species
GGGUUGUGAGGUUAAGCGACUAAGCGUACACGGUGGAUGCCCUGGCAGUCAGAGGCGAUGAAGGGCGUGCUAAUCUGCGAUAAGCGCCGGUAAGGUGAUAUGAACCGUUAUAACCGGCGAUACCCGAAUGGGGAAACCCAGUGUGAUUCGUCACACUAUCAUUAACUGAAUCCAUAGGUUAAUGAGGCGAACCGGGGGAACUGAAACAUCUAAGUACCCCGAGGAAAAGAAAUCAACCGAGAUUCCCCCAGUAGCGGCGAGCGAACGGGGAGGAGCCCAGAGCCUGAAUCAGCAUGUGUGUUAGUGGAAGCGUCUGGAAAGGCGCGCGAUACAGGGUGACAGCCCCGUACACAAAAGCGCAUGUGCUGUGAGCUCGAUGAGUAGGGCGGGACACGUGGUAUCCUGUCUGAAUAUGGGGGGACCAUCCUCCAAGGCUAAAUACUCCUGACUGACCGAUAGUGAACCAGUACCGUGAGGGAAAGGCGAAAAGAACCCCGGCGAGGGGAGUGAAAAAGAACCUGAAACCGUGUACGUACAAGCAGUGGGAGCACAGGUUUACCUGUGUGACUGCGUACCUUUUGUAUAAUGGGUCAGCGACUUAUAUUCUGUAGCAAGGUUAACCGUAUAGGGGAGCCGUAGGGAAACCGAGUCUUAACCGGGCGUUAAGUUGCAGGGUAUAGACCCGAAACCCGGUGAUCUAGCCAUGGGCAGGUUGAAGGUUGGGUAACACUAACUGGAGGACCGAACCGACUAAUGUUGAAAAAUUAGCGGAUGACCUGUGGCUGGGGGUGAAAGGCCAAUCAAACCGGGAGAUAGCUGGUUCUCCCCGAAAGCUAUUUAGGUAGCGCCUCGUGAAUUCAUCUCCGGGGGUAGAGCACUGUUUCGGCUAGGGGGCCAUCCCGGCUUACCAACCCGAUGCAAACUGCGAAUACCGGAGAAUGUUAUCACGGGAGACACACGGCGGGUGCUAACGUCCGUCGUGAAGAGGGAAACAACCCAGACCGCCAGCUAAGGUCCCAAAGUCAUGGUUAAGUGGGAAACGAUGUGGGAAGGCCCAGACAGCCAGGAUGUUGGCUUAGAAGCAGCCAUCAUUUAAAGAAAGCGUAAUAGCUCACUGGUCGAGUCGGCCUGCGCGGAAGAUGUAACGGGGCUAAACCAUGCACCGAAGCUGCGGCAGCGACGCUGAUGCGUUGUUGGGUAGGGGAGCGUUCUGUAAGCCUGCGAAGGUGGCCUGUGAGGGUUGCUGGAGGUAUCAGAAGUGCGAAUGCUGACAUAAGUAACGAUAAAGCGGGUGAAAAGCCCGCUCGCCGGAAGACCAAGGGUUCCUGUCCAACGUUAAUCGGGGCAGG